rnacentral:rRNA from 1 species
AACUCUAAGAAAAAAUUACGCUGUUAUCCCUAAGGUAAUUUUUCUUUUAAUCUUAAACAAAGGAUCAAAUUUAUCAUUUAUUAUUGGAAAUUGUAUAAAAAAAGUUAAUUAAAUUUUUCAAUCACCCCAACUAAAUACUUUUUUGUAAAGUAAUUUUAAUUUCUAUAUUUUAACUUUAAAAUAAAACUAUUAAACUCUAUAGGGUCUUCUCGUCUUUUAUAAAAAUUUAAGCUUUUUUACUUAAAAAUAAAAUUCAAUAUAUUCAAAUUGAGACAGUCAUUUUUUCAUCAAACCCUUCAUACCAGCUUUCAAUUAAAAAACUAAUGAUUAUGCUACCUUAGCACAGUCAAAAUACUGCGGCCGUUAAA